rnacentral:misc_RNA from 1 species
GUGAGGAACAAAGUCGUACUAAGCCUCCACCGUCGUAGCAGCAUUUUGAGAAGCAUCAUCAGCCUAUAGCUCUCACAUUCCACGUUGGGGAGUAAAAUGUUGAUCAAAGAUAUUGGAAGUUUGGAAUAACCUAUUUUUUGUUUAGAGUAUUAAAAAUUCAGUACCACGCUUAGCAAGUUUAGAAGAGGCAUGCAAAAGUGUAAUAUAUGUUUGAUAUUG